GCCUCUGGAGGGUACCAUCCACAGGUCGUACUGCCUCCCUGUUCCCAUCAGCACUUUGCAGUGCUGGUCCAUGGAGACGCUGGUAGGUAUUUGGUGGAUGGAUGAGCAAACAUGUGAGGAGGGAGAUGGGGCAGAUCAGGCACUGAUCUGCCAGGGAGUCAAGGCGGGAGAGGCCGGGGAUGCCUUCACAGGGCACAGCUCCAGGGAGUUAAGAGACCCAUCCUGGCUGUCCUCCUGUUGGUCCAGGAUUGGCCACCUGUUAGUCUUACCUGAACAUUCACCCUCCGUGUGAAGCCGGAUGAGACCCUCGCUGACAGAACUUGAUCUGUCAGGGGCGAGAGGACACUCCCAGGAUGGAGUCCCUCCACUCUGCCAAGAGGAACCUCUCUAGGACACUGUCAGGACCAGUCAGCCAGUGAGUCAAAGUGUGAGAGGAAGCAACAUGGUCCCACGUGAUGUUUACCCAGCAGAUCACGGAUCCUCACCCCUGCUCCCCUUUACAAAGAAAAAGGCUCAGGAACAGGCUCUGGAUGCCUUGGGUCUGGGACGGUGUUCUGGGGUGAAUGUCGACCCCGGGAGGAGAGCACGGACCAGCAUCCAGGGCGGUGCCUCACCUGUAGUACAUGUCUAAUAAACACGUAAGGAACAAA